CCCCUCUCAGCGUCGCACCUGGAGAGUUUCCAGUACUCUACCAGUCUCAGCUACGGGAGGGAGAGUCAAGCAGAGACCUACCCAUUCCAUUCCUAGCUUGGCCAGUGGCUAGUGAGUGAAAGGCGAUCUGCUACAAAU
rnacentral:snoRNA from 2 species